GGGCCGUUAGCUCAAUUGGUCAGAGCGGCCGGCUCAUAACCGGUUGGUUGCAGGUUCGAGUCCUGCACGGCCCACCA
rnacentral:tRNA from 2 species